CGGCUAUUGAGACCAAGCAGAGCUGGCCUUGGAGCCCACGUUUGCUGCAUUUCAGGUUCAGGCCUCUCUCCCUGUUUCCCUGCGGAAGCUUGACCCUCUUGUCUUCCUGGGGACAUUCACUUAGGUGGAUGGGUGCCUGAUGGACAAGGGCAUGGCCAGAAGGAUGAUUGGAAGAACGGAUGCAUGUGUGGAUGGAUGGAAGGAGGAAGGUGUAGAUGGGCGGGUGGAUGGAAGGAGGAAGGUGUAGACGGGUGGGUGGAUGGAAGGAGAAAGGUGUAGAUGGGCGGGUGGAUGGAAGGAGAAAGGCAUAGAUGGGCGGGUGGAUGGAAGGAGGAAGGUGUAGACGGGUGGGUGGAUGGAAGGAGAAAGGCAUAGAUGGGCGGGUGG
rnacentral:lncRNA from 1 species